CAUGCAAGUCGAGCGAUGAAGUUCCUUCGGGAAAUGGAUUAGCGGCGGACGGUGAGUAACACGUGGGUAACCUGCCUCAUAGUGGGGAAUAGCCUUUCGAAAGGAAGAUUAAUACCGCAUAAGAUUGUAGUUUCGCAUGAAACAGCAAUUAAAGGAGCAAUUCGCUAUGAGAUGGACCCGCGGCGCAUUAGCUAGUUGGUCGAGGUAACGGCUCACCAAGGGCCACGAUGCGUAGCCGACCUGAGAGGGUGAUCGGCCACAUUGGGGACUGAGACACGGGCCCAGACUCCUACGGGAGGCAGCAGUGGGGAAUAUUGCACAAUGGGGGAAACCCUGAUGCAGCGAUGCCGCGUGGAGGAAGAAGGCCUUCGGGUUGUAAACUUCUUUUACCAGGGACGAAGAACGUGACGGUACCUGGAGAAAAAGCAACGGCUAACUACGUG
rnacentral:rRNA from 1 species